rnacentral:rRNA from 1 species
UUCAUUUAGAGGAAGUAAAAGUCGUAACAAGGUUUCCGUAGGUGAACCUGCGGAAGGAUCAUUACCGAUUCUCAAUACCUUGACACCUGUGAAUUUGGUCGCUGCGUGUGCGCGCGUUUUCUCCUUUUGGGGUUGGCCCAGCAGGGCCAUUAAAUCGUGGGUCUGCUUCCCGCAGCCCCAAUUGGAGUUUCCGUGUGUGCGCAGUGGUUUUCCUCGCUUCGCCACCGUGCGGGGCAACCUUGAACUUUUUUAACCAUGCCUGUAAAUUUGCAGACUGAACUGUCGGGCUUUCUAACGAAAGCUUGUCUCUUGAUACUUGAAUCAUGGACAACUUUCAACGGUGGAUCUCUUGGCUCGUGGAUCGAUGAAGAACGCAGCAAAACGCGAUAUGUAGUGUGAAUUGCAGAAUUCAGUGAAUCAUCGAAUCUUUGAACGCAAAUGGCGCUCCUGGGUAUUCCCAGGAGCAUGUCUGUCUCAGCGUCGUUUUCACCUCGAGCGCGCUUCGGCGCGGUGGUCUUGAGGCGUCUGGGCGCCGCUGCUGCUGCCGCUCUUGCGGCGGGCAAGCAGCACCCAGUCCCUUGAAAUGCAGUGGCCGGACAGUUGUGUGCUUUCGGCGUCGGUUCGACUCGAUCGCUCGCACGGCUGAUGGCGAGUUUGCCUCGUGCAAUCUCCCUUGUCGUGUCGCAGCGAUCGUCAGCUCGGGCUGGACUCCGAUCAUGGCCGCCUGACCGAACAAAGCCAGCUCUGGAAAACACGCGUUGGGUGUGUGUGAAACACAAACAACACCUUCGACCUGAGAUCAGGCAAGACUACCCGCUGAAUUUAAGCAUAUUAAUAAGCGGAGGAAAAGAAACCAA